ACCGGCAGCUCAAGUGGUGGCCAUUAUUAUUGGGCCUAAAGCGUUCGUAGCCGGUUUGAUAAGUCUCUGGUGAAAUCCCGCAGCUUAACUGUGGGACUUGCUGGAGAUACUAUCAGACUUGAGGUCGGGAGAGGUUAGGGGUACUCCCAGGGGAGGGGUGACAUCCCAUAAUCCUGGGAGGACCACCGAUGGCGAAGGUGCCGAACUGGAGUGAAACCGGCGGUGGGUAGAGAAAGCCAGUGGCGCGAACCG
rnacentral:rRNA from 1 species